GGUGCCAUCAUUCACUGACUGAAAACAUAGGAGCAGAGGCAGGUUCUGGCACGUUCUCGGGAGGAAAUAAGGAGUUUGAGUUCGGGCCUACAAACCUCUAGUGGAGAUGGACCCCAGGAAGCGGAUAUGUUAUCUGCAGCACUAGGGAUAUCCUGGGCUGGAGAUGAGAUUCAAAAGUCGUUAGCAGUCGAGAGUUUGUUGAAGCUGGAUGACUGGGUGGGCCCACAGAAGGACAGAGGAGACAGGCAGCUGUGGGACGGGGGUGGGGGAGACACCACAAGGAAAAGCCAUGCCUUGGACGCCAAGAAGCUGCAGUCACCAAGCCGAGAUGCCGCGCCAGUUUCCCAAGCUGAACAUCUCUGAGGUGGAUGAGCAAGUCCGGCUCUUGGCAGAAAGGGUGUUUGCUAAAGUGCUCCGAGAAGAGGACAGCAAAGAUGGCCUGUCCCUCUUCACCGUCCCCGAGGACUGUCCCAUUGGGCAGAAGGAGGCCAAGGAAAGGGAGCUGCAGAAAGAGCUGGCGGAGCAGAAGUCCCUGGAGACGGCGAAAAGAAAGAAAAGUUUCAAGAUGAUUCGGUCCCAGUCCCUGUCUCUGCAAAUGCCGACGCAGCAAGAUUGGAAGGGCGCCCCAACAACCAGUCCGGUCCUAUCUCCCACUACCCCCAUGUUCUCUGGAGCCACUUCCCAGCCCACGCCGGGGCCCUAUGCCAUGCCCGAGUUCCAGCGGGUCGUCAUCAGUGGAGAUUACUGUGCUGGGAUCACUGUGGAGGACUAUGAGCAGGCUGCCAAGAGCCUAGCCAAGGCCCUGAUGAUACGAGAGAAGUAUGCCAGACUUGCCUACCAUCGCUUCCCACGGACCACGGCUCAGUACCUGGGUCAUCGGAGGGUAGACACUGCACCUCUGGAGGAGGGCCUCCCAGACUUCCACCCUCCCCCCCAGCCCGAGGAAGACCCUUACUGUCUGGAUGAUGCUCCCCCCAACCUGGGCUACCUGGUCCGCAUGCAGGGGGGCAUCCUCUUCGUGUAUGAUAACAAAGAGAUGCUGGAGCGCCAGGAGCCCCACAGCCUGCCCUACCCCGACCUGGAGACCUACACGGUGGAUAUGAGCCACAUCCUGGCUCUCAUCACAGAUGGCCCCACGAAAACAUACUGUCACCGGCGACUGAACUUUCUGGAAUCCAAGUUCAGCCUUCAUGAGAUGUUAAAUGAAAUGUCUGAGUUCAAAGAGUUGAAGAGUAACCCUCACAGAGACUUCUAUAAUGUGCGAAAGGUGGAUACACACAUCCAUGCAGCUGCCUGCAUGAACCAGAAGCACUUGCUGCGGUUCAUCAAGCAUACAUACAAGACGGAGCCUGACAGGACCGUGGCUGAGAAGCGGGGCCGGAAGAUCACCCUGCGGCAGGUGUUUGACAGUCUGCACAUGGACCCAUAUGACCUCACUGUCGAUUCACUGGAUGUCCAUGCGGGCCGGCAGACAUUCCAUCGCUUUGACAAGUUCAACUCCAAAUACAACCCUGUGGGGGCCAGUGAGCUGCGCGACCUCUAUUUGAAAACUGAAAACUACCUGGGAGGAGAGUACUUUGCUCGGAUGGUCAAGGAGGUGGCCAGGGAGCUGGAGGAGAGCAAGUACCAGUACUCAGAGCCACGGCUGUCCAUCUAUGGCCGCAAUCCCAAGGAGUGGCCCAAACUGGCCCACUGGUUCAUCCAGCACAAGGUCUACUCACCCAACAUGCGCUGGAUCAUCCAGGUGCCCCGGAUCUAUGACAUAUUUAGGUCAAAGAAGCUGCUGCCAAGCUUUGGGAAGAUGCUGGAGAACAUCUUCCUGCCCCUUUUUGAGGCCACAAUCAACCCCCAGGAUCACCGAGAGCUUCAUCUUUUCCUCAAAUAUGUGACAGGGUUUGACAGCGUGGAUGACGAAUCCAAGCACAGCGACCACAUGUUCUCAGACAAGAGCCCCAGCCCAGACAUCUGGACCAGUGAGCAGAACCCGCCCUACAGCUACUACCUGUACUACAUGUAUGCCAACAUCAUGGUGCUCAACAACCUCCGCAGGGAACGAGGCCUGAGCACUUUCUUGUUCCGGCCUCACUGUGGGGAGGCCGGCUCCAUCACCCACCUGGUGUCUGCUUUCCUGACUGCUGACAACAUUUCCCACGGGCUGCUCCUCAAGAAGAGUCCGGUGUUGCAGUAUCUCUACUACCUUGCUCAGAUCCCCAUUGCCAUGUCUCCUCUUAGCAACAACAGUCUGUUCCUUGAAUAUUCCAAAAACCCUCUGAGGGAAUUCCUGCACAAGGGACUCCACGUUUCUCUCUCCACCGACGACCCCAUGCAGUUCCACUACACAAAGGAAGCACUUAUGGAAGAAUAUGCAAUUGCAGCUCAAGUGUGGAAGCUGAGCACAUGUGACCUGUGUGAAAUCGCCAGGAACAGCGUGCUGCAAAGUGGCCUCUCCCAUCAGGUGGAAUGAAAGGCUAUUGUAUACUAGCCCAUGUUUGUAAAAGAACAAAUUUUGAAGCAGGUUAUCCCUUGCUAUAAAAGCCUCAAGUUCAUGUACGUGUCAUGUCAAACUGCACUGUUGAGAUGAUCAAUGACAUUGCUCUUUGCCACAUGAAAACCAGUCACAGCUCCUGGGUUGGUAUGUACCAAGGGACCAGAUUUAUCUUCCCACUUAAAACAAUGAAAACACUGGAAAAAUACAUGAACAGGGCUUUCAACACUGGACAUCAUCAGACAACACAGGACAAGAAUUGCUGGAGACGAGGAGCAAAGAAGAUAUUUAACCAAGAGAAGCCCAAAAUACACAUCCGUAAGUAGACUGGUCCACAAAUCUCUACAGCAGCUUCGUUUGCAGUACCUCAAAACUGGAAACAACCCUGUGUUCGGAACAGGUGAAUACACCAACUGUGGUGUAUCCUACAAUGAACACUACUCUGAAAAAAAAAAAAAGCGGGGGAGGCAGAACUACUGAUGGCAUGUAUAACAUGGAUAAAUCUCAAAAUAAUUCUACUGAAUGAAAAAAAGAGUGCAUGCUGUAUAAUUUCAUUAUAGAAAAAUUCUAGAAAACCCAAAUUAUUGUAUAAUGACUAAAAGCAGAUUAGUGGUUGUCUGGGACUGGAUGUGUUGGGAAGGAGACUUUACAGUGGGGCACGAAAUAACUUCUGGGCCGAUUUGGGUGUGACAAAUUUGUUCAUUGUGACGAUGUUUUUUAUGGGUGUGUACAUAUGUCAAAACAUCAGAUUGUACUUUAAAUAUAUGUAGCUUAUUGUAUGUCAAUUAUAAAGCCA